CGGGAGCGACUUAGCGGCGGACGGGUGAGUAACGCGUGGGUAACCUGCCCCAUACCGGGGGAUAACGGUUAGAAAUGACCGCUAAUACCGCUUAAGCGCACGAGGCCGCAUGGCCGCGCGCGAAAAACUCCGGUGGUAUGGGAUGGGCCCGCGUCUGAUUAGCUAGUUGGCGGGGUAAAGGCCCACCAAGGCGACGAUCAGUAGCCGACCUGAGAGGGUGGCCGGCCACAUUGGGACUGAGACACGGCCCAAACUUCUACGGAAGGCAGCAG
rnacentral:rRNA from 1 species